rnacentral:pre_miRNA from 1 species
CAACUACUCCCUCUGUCCCAAAUUUCUUGUCUUAGAUUUGUCUAGAUACAGAUGUAUCUAAUACUAAAAUGUGACUUGAUACAUCUGUAUCUAGACAAAUCUAAGACAAGAAUUUGGGACGGAGGGAGUACUUU